UUAAGGGACAAUGCUGACAGAUUACUGCGGGCAUUUCCCUCUCAAACAAAUUUCAGCCUCUAAAAUGGCGCCUCCUUCUUGACUGCCAUGGUAAAGUUUCUUCAUUUUGUAGUAGUGCCACCGCCUCUCACUCGCUCACCCUCUCCCUUUCUCUCAGCCUUUCAUCCUCUCCCUCUCCAUGUCUUAUUCUUCUCCUCUCUUGCACGAAUAGCGGGCCUCACAAACGAAGGGUCGAAGGGGUGACUGAUGAACGACAGAGGUCAAAGAGGGCUCACGAACCAAAGGUGGUGGAGGACGGACGGCGGCGAAUCCAACUCAUGGGGUGGAGGUGUGUCCCAUGGUGGCUCAUUAGUUUGGCUCAGGAGCAUAUUUGCAAGGUGGCAUGGAUCACGUCAGGGUUCUUCCAAAGUUUCUUCAUUCAAAUGCAACCAGUCAUAAGUGGGCUCUUGGAGCUUUUGUUGAGCUAUUGGAUAAUGCAUUGGAUGAGGUCUGCAGUGGUGCCACAUAUGCAAAUAUCGAUAUGCUUACUAAUAAGAAAGAUGGGAGCAGAAUGUUGCUAAUCGAAGGAUAUUCAAAUUAGAGUGGUCAAAUGAGAUGAGAAGAGUAUACAAAUGGCUAAACAGUACCCCGAUUCCCGGCACUUCUUGACUUAUCGACACUCAUUGAGGGUAUGGUCACAAAUUUAUAAUAUUGUGAAUGAUAUGAUGUUAUCUGAGAAGAUUAAAUACAUGCCGCAACCUGGUGCUGAGGGGAUCUCAAAAGAUGUCAAUAUGGUUGCUGAUGUCACCAUUGGGUUUUGUAAUGGAUGCUAAACAUCAUAUCUAUGGCCAAGGAUUUAAUGUCUAUCACAAGAUCAGAGUGAUUAAGAUGACAAUGAUGGACCCUUGACGUGAUCAAUGGCACUAUCUAACUACUACACCAUUGGCAAUUCUUGGAAGUUUCAUUUUCUCAUUCAUGGCAAACCAAUUCUUACUUUGGAAAGACUAUUGGUGACGAGGGUGAGUACAAAGACAAGAAGAAGAAAUAUGUUUGACAAUGAAUUUAGUAUUUUAUUUUAUUUUAUUUGUAAUUUUUAUUAGAGUAAAAGAUUCUUUUUUGAGUGGUUAAUUAUUUACUUUGUAAAUCUAGUUAUAUUUUUUUUUUAAGGUCAAGACGAUUAUGUUUAUAAACAAGUUUAUAUAUUUUUUAGUCAAGUAGUAGUGUUAUAUUUGUUCCAAAUUUUGUUUUAUUAGAUUUGUAAAUACUUUGUAUAAGUUUUGUUAUUUUAAUAUAUAAGUUUUUAGA